rnacentral:rRNA from 1 species
AGUGAACGCUGGCGGUAGGCCUAACACAUGCAAGUCGAACGGCAGCACAGUAAGAGCUUGCUCUUACGGGUGGCGAGUGGCGGACGGGUGAGGAAUACAUCGGAAUCUACUUUUUCGUGGGGGAUCACGUAGGGAAACUUACGAUAAUACCGCAUACGACCUACGGGUGAAAGCAGGGGAUCUUCGGACCUUGCGCGAUUGAAUGCGCCGAUGUCGGAUUAGCUAGUUGGCGGGGUAAAGGCCCACCAAGGCGACGAUCCGUAGCUGGUCUGAGAGGAUGGUCAGCCACACUGGAACGGAGACACGGUCCAGACUCCUACGGGAGGCAGCAGUGGGGAAUAUUGGACAAUGGGCGCAAGCCUUAUCCAGCCAUACCGCGUGGGUGAAGAAGGCCUUCGGGUUGUAAAGCCCUUUUGUUGGGAAAGAAAAGCAGCAGGUUAAUACCCCGCUGUUCUGACGGUACCCAAAGAAUAAGCACCGGCUAACUUCGUG